AGCCGAAACGCCCUUGGGGGCGUCUGCUGCACGCUGGCCGGGCGGCACUGAUGAGGCAGGCCAUU
rnacentral:hammerhead_ribozyme from 1 species